ensembl:lincRNA
CAAAUUUGUUACAAAAAUGCCAACGAAGGUUAAUCUCGGGUAAUCUAAUUCCGUUUCCUGGUGUUUUCUUUUUUCUUUUUUUCUUCCACUCGGCUCCACCUACAGAGAGGCCCAACAGGGGGCUCGCGCGCUCGUUUGGGCUCGGCGGCCGGAGAAGACCGGCGCACUGGGCCGAAGCCGCUCCGCCAAGGUUGGGUCGUGGCUGCCGGGACUCGUCGCCAGAAGGCCUCCUGGGCCGCCCUUCCGCUCUCCCGGGGCUGGGCGGCGCUGUCUGGCUCUUCCUGCCGCGCUCCGGCCACUCCCCCACCGCCCCUCGCUUGGCCCAGCCGUGGCUGCCGUGCUCUGCACGCAGUGCCUCCCUCGGGCGUGGGUCUGCAGGUGCAACCCCGACUCCUCCCUGAGCCCCGCAAGGCAGCCCUGGGGUGCUCCCGGCAGGGUUGCCCGACUGACCCUGCCCUUGUUUUGUGUUGCAGGAGACCCAGACAGGGCAGCGGCCGGCACUACCGCGCCGCGAUUUGCACAGAGUUGAAGAAGACCCUGACCAUUGAAGAGGUGGCCCCCCGCCCCGUCGGGCUCACGAGGUAAUAUAGCUGCUGCUGGAAGUGACGAGAAGUGCAAGGUGGCGGUGCAGAGGGGUGCGCAGUCCAGCGUGAACUACAGUUAGAGCAGGCUGAAGGAGGCAGUGAGGAAGCUGGUGGACUAGGGCAGGGUGAAUGUGGCCAUCGACAUGGUGGGAGGAGACAUCUGCCUGAAGGCUGUCCUCAGGUACGUGAUGGUCUGUCUAGAGUGGACUAGAGCUGAAACCUUUCCUGAUCUCUGCCUUCCUUCUGGCCUUGCUUCUCUCUCAUCUUUGCUGUUCACUUCUCCUGUAGGCAUCAGCAUCAACGAGAACAGCGAGUGGGUGGGUGAAAAGGAAUAGAAGCAGAGAAAAUCAGGAAAUGCUUAUAUAUAGCAAAAACAAAAUACCCAACUGGAAAAUAUCCAAAAAAAUGACUGCAGACUCUCUAGUUGGCAAUGCCAAAUGCUUUAGAAAUUAUUCAUGUGUUAAAUACAGCUAUGCCAGUUCCCACUAACAACUUUAUAUCCAUGUCUGUGGGGAAUUCUUGCAGAGGGCAUUGUUCAGCUGUUAGAAUUACUGGGGUGGCAGUUCCCUUUUUCCCAGGUCACUGUGGACCAAGGUACAGGCUCUUCUGAUCUUACUGCUUUCUGAAGCAGCCAGCAGCGUAGGUAAUUCCUUGACUUGUUUUAUUUAAAAAAUAUCACUGGAGAUUUAGUAGGAGUGUUGUAUCACACCAAUUCUCAUUCCAUUUUCAACCAAGGAUUCUGGAGUACUCUGAUAGCGUUGGUUUCAUUUCUUAUGUCAUCCUGGCAAGCAUAAUUUUGUAGUUUAUCUCUUUAUCUUAGUUUCAGGUAGAAGUCGCAGAAGCAGAGACAGUAGCCUAUCCACAAAAGAGAUCCAGUUGGUUCUCUAGCCCCUGAGCUGGGUGGCAGGCAGUCUCUAUGUUUGCUCACCUCUGCACCGUACCUGGUGCUGUGCUUAGAGAAGAAGCAAAGGAAGGAGUGUGUAGUCCAAGUGGAAAG